CAGUCGCCACGGGAAAACGAAGGGGGGCUAGCGUUGCUCGGAAUGACUGGGCGUAAAGGGCGCGUAGGCGGCGAUCAAAGUCAGGCGUGAAAUUCCUGGGCUCAACCUGGGGGCUGCGUUUGAUACUUGGUUGCUAGAGUGGGGAAGAGGGUCGUGGAAUUCCCAGUGUAGAGGUGAAAUUCGUAGAUAUUGGGAAGAACACCGGUGGCGAAGGCGGCGACCUGGUCCUUGACUGACGCUGAGGCGCGAAAGCGUGGGGAGCAAACAGGAUUAGAUACCCCGGUAGUCCCUGUCUCUUAUA
rnacentral:rRNA from 1 species